rnacentral:rRNA from 1 species
GGUAUAGUAGCAAUACUAGAGACCGGCGCACGGGUGCGUAACGCGUAUGCAAUCUACCUUAUACAGAGGGAUAGCCCAGAGAAAUUUGGAUUAAUACCUCAUAGCAUAGCAACUUCGCAUGAAGUCACUAUUAAAGUUCCAACGGUAUAAGAUGAGCAUGCGUCCUAUUAGCUAGAUGGUAAGGUAACGGCUUACCAUGGCUACGAUAGGUAGGGGUCCUGAGAGGGAGAUCCCCCACACUGGUACUGAGACACGGACCAGACUCCUACGGGAGGCAGCAGUGAGGAAUAUUGGACAAUGGGCGCAAGCCUGAUCCAGCCAUGCCGCGUGCAGGAAGACGCAUCUAUGGUGUGUAAACUGCUUUUGUACGGGAAGAAACACUCCCUCGUGAGGGAGCUUGACGGUACCGUAAGAAUAAGGAUCGGCUAACUCCGUGCCAGCAGCCGCGGUAAUACGGAGGAUCCAAGCGUUAUCCGGAAUCAUUGGGUUUAAAGGGUCCGUAGGCGGUUUGGUAAGUCAGUGGUGAAAGCCCAUCGCUUAACGAUGGAACGGCCAUUGAUACUGCCAGACUUGAAUUACUGGGAAGUAACUAGAAUAUGUAGUGUAGCGGUGAAAUGCUUAGAUAUUACAU